rnacentral:pre_miRNA from 7 species
AGGGUUACGUGCUAGGAGGCAAUAGCUCUGUUAAUCUGCCCUCCCACGGGCACUGCGAGCGAGGGGUGGCCCCUGCACAGUGCCCGUGGGAGGGCAGAUUAACAGAGCUAUAGCCUCCUAGCACGUAACCCU